rnacentral:rRNA from 1 species
AUACGGAGGAUGCAAGCGUUAUCCGGAUUUAUUGGGCUUAAAGGGUGCGUAGGCGGUUUGCUAAGCGGGAGGUGAAAUGCCGGCGCUCAACGUCGGAAGUGCCUCCCGAACUGGUGGACUGGAAUGACUCUGCCGUGGGAGGAAUGUGUAGUGUAGCGGUGAAAUGCUUAGAGAUUACACAGAACACCGAUUGCGAAGGCAUCUCACGAAGGGUUGAUUGACGCUGAGGCACGAAAGCGUGGGGAUCAAACAGGAUUAGAUACCCUGGUAGUCCACGCAGUAAACGAUGAUGGCUAACCGCUGGUUUAUUCGGAUCAGUGGCCAAGCGAAAGCGAUAAGCCAUCCACCUGGGGAGUACGACCGCAAGGUUGAAACUCAAAUGAAUUGACGGGG